UUCCGGUUGAUCCUGCCGGAGGCUACUGCUAUUGGGGUUCGAUUAAGCCAUGCGAGUCUAAAGGACUUCGGUCCUUGGCGAACGGCUCAGUAACACGUGGAUAAUCUGCCCUUGGGUGGGGGAUAAGCUCGGGAAACUGAGUAUAAUACCCCAUAGGCCCGGGAGGCUGGAAUGCACCCGGGCUGAAAGUUCCGGCGCCCAAGGAUGAGUCCGCGGCCUAUCAGGUUGUAGUCAGGGUAACGACCUGACUAGCCUUCGACGGGUACGGGUGUUGAGAGACAUAGCCCGGAGAUGGACUCUGAGACACGAGUCCAGGCCCUACGGGGCGCAGCAGGCGCGAAAACUUCGCAAUGCGGGAAACCGUGACGAGGGAACCCCAAGUGCCCAUGCAAUGCAUGGGCUGUUUACCAGCCUAAAAAGCUGGUAGAGUAAGGGCUGGGUAAGACCGGUGCCAGCCGCCGCGGUAAUACCGGCAGCUCGAGUGGUAGCCACUAUUAUUGGGCCUAAAGCGUCCGUAGCCGGUUUGGUAAAUCCUUGGGUAAAUCGUGGUGCCUAACAUUACGACUUCCGAGGAGACUGCCAGACUUGGGAACGGGAGAGGUUAGGGGUACUUGCGGGGUAGCGGUGAAAUGUUAUAAUCCUGCAGGGACCACCAGUGGCGAAGGCGCCUAACUUGAACGUGUCCGACGGUAAGGGACGAAACCCUGGGUCGCGAACGGGAUUAGAUACCCCGGUAGUCCAGGGCGUAAACGCUGCGGGCUUGGUGUUGGGGAUCCUGCGAGGGUGCCCAGUGCCGGAGUGAAGAUGUUAAGCCCGCCGCCUGGGGAGUACGGCCGCAAGACUGAAACUUAAAGGAAUUGGCGGGGGAGCACAGCAACGGGUGGAGCGUGCGGUUUAAUUGGAUUCAACGCCGG
rnacentral:rRNA from 1 species